GUAAAAGCAUUGCGGAAGAGGAGUAGCCUGCCUAGGCGGCACAGCGAGGAGACGGUCGGUGCGAGUCUCCCCCCAAAGCAGGUGAAGGUGGCUUCCAAGCUCCGUCCCCCAAGUCGCAGUAAGGGACGGCGGCUCCCGCCGUUACCGGGUCAGAGCGCGGACCUCCGGUCCGAACUCAGGUGGUACCACGGACGUUUCGUUCGCCCUGAGC
rnacentral:ncRNA from 1 species